rnacentral:rRNA from 1 species
UACGAAGGGGGCUAGCGUUGCUCGGAAUCACUGGGCGUAAAGCGCACGUAGGCGGCUUGUUAAGUCAGGGGUGAAAUCCUGGAGCUCAACUCCAGAACUGCCUUUGAUACUGGCGAGCUUGAGUUCGGGAGAGGUGAGUGGAACUGCGAGUGUAGAGGUGAAAUGCGCAGAUAUCAGGAGGAACACCAAUGGCGAAGGCAGCUCACUGGGACGGUAUUGACGCUGAGACGCGAAAGCGUGGGGAGCAAACAGG